UGCUGAGGUGUCCACAGCCGGCUGCCGUGUCAGAUAGUAAAUGUGGUGUGAUGAUGACUGCAUUGGAUGGUGAAUGGAGGAUUCUCAACACCAGGUAACUGUGUCUCAUUUCUUGCCGGGCAGUCACUAACUCUAGAAUUUGCCAGCGAAUGAGAAUGACCUUCUGCCCGCCCGAAAAGUUCACCGACAGAGUCAAUACCAUUUCCUGUCAUUGCUUUGUAUGGCUGAUGGGUGUGCUAAGCAAGGAACAGAUGUGACUCAGCCCUGUGCACUGAUGAUAUGGUUCCUGGUUCUUUUAAAGGGCACCUCUGCCAAUUUUGCUGCUGUCGACAUUCAUCUUUCCUUAAAAUUCUGAAUUAAAA